AACGAACGCUGGCGGCAUGCCUAACACAUGCAAGUCGAACGAGACCUUCGGGUCUAGUGGCGCACGGGUGCGUAACGCGUGGGAAUCUGCCCUUAGGUUCGGAAUAACUUCGGGAAACUGAAGCUAAUACCGGAUGAUGACGUAAGUCCAAAGAUUUAUCGCCUAAGGAUGAGCCCGCGUAGGAUUAGCUAGUUGGUGAGGUAAAGGCUCACCAAGGCGACGAUCCUUAGCUGGUCUGAGAGGAUGAUCAGCCACACUGGGACUGAGACACGGCCCAGACUCCUACGGGAGGCAGCAGUGGGGAAUAUUGGACAAUGGGCGAAAGCCUGAUCCAGCAAUGCCGCGUGAGUGAUGAAGGCCUUAGGGUUGUAAAGCUCUUUUACCCGGGAUGAUAAUGACAGUACCGGGAGAAUAAGCUCCGGCUAACUCCGUGCCAGCAGCCGCGGUAAU
rnacentral:rRNA from 1 species